ensembl:lncRNA GUSBP5 GUSB pseudogene 5
UAAUAUUAUGCAUGUUUAGGCUAUGCUUUUUCUUUAAAUAUGUGAGCAAAUCUAUUGGUGUAAUGUACUCAUUACCCUAAAACCUAUAUUAUAAUGGACCUGAAGACCAUAAGGUAGAAGAUCAGAAGAAAAAGAAAAUGCAUACAUUUUUAUCUUUAAAACAAUUCACUUUUAAGAGUAUUUUCUUGAAAGGUAUACCUUUGAUGGAGCUGAAUCUAGUUGCUUCAGGCAGAUACAAUAGGAUACAAUAGGAUAGGACUUCUUGGGUAAAAAAGGUGUAGUAAUCUGUGAGACUCACCGGAAGGAGAAAGGCAAUUAUGCAUUAAUUUGGCUGAGGCCAGGGUAGUAAGCAGAUUCAUUAUAAAUUCUGACAGCAGAGGAAUACUUGAGAAAUGCUUAUAGUUAGAUCAUCUAUUUUUCCAAGCAAUAUUCUUCAUGUCAUUCCACCUUGCAAAAACUUUGUGGAAUAGAAUAGGCAUAUGAAGAGCAAUGAAUAGACUUUGCAUUAGAUUGGUAAUCUUGCUACUAGUACAUUAAUUUACUUGUAUUACUGAUAUUUUAAGAUAGGAUUUUUACAGAUGUUUAUAUAUUUUUUAAAAGCCUAUUUUUUUCUUUACCCACUUUCUCAAUUUUUUUAACCUCGAAAACUUUUUCCUCCCUAAGAGAAAUACAUGGGCUAUCUUCAGCACAGAACACAAACUCUGCCUUCUUUUCUCAAGUCCAGUGAUUCAAGUUUGACACACCACACCACGGUGGAUGUGCCUUGUCAUGACACAUCUUCUCAGCAGCACUAGAAGAUACAUCCAAAGUCCUGUGAGCAAGGACACAGCGAGAAGAUGGCUGUCUACAAGCCAGGAAGAGAGUCCUCACCAGAACCAAACCCUGCUGGACUUUGAUCUUGGACUUCCCAGCCUCUAAAACUGUGAAGACAUAAAUUUCUGUUGUUAAACCCACACAGGUCUGUGGUAUCUGUUUAUUAUGGCAGCCCAGUAAGACUAAGACAGGCCAUCACAAGACAUGAAUGUUUUGGACCUUCUCUUGGGCCCUAGUAAACAGAAAUCAGGCUAUUAAACUAAUCCACGUUCUAAACUGUUAUUGCUACUGGAAAAUGGUCCCGAUCCAGACCCCAAAAGAGGAUUCUUGGAUCUUGCACAAGAAAGAAAGGGCUCCAUGAGCAGAAGAUCAGAGGAGCAGAAGAGUGGUGCAGCAGAGAAGGAGAGAAGAGAAGGAAUGUCUAAAUGUCAAGAGGAGUUCAGCUGGGGACAGUUGGAGAGGAGAUAGGCCAUGGAAGAGCCAAACUCUAGGGGAAGAUCAUCUUUCCACUCCAUCCCCUUUCCAGCUCUCCAUCCAUCCCACUGACAGCCACCUCCACCACUCAAUAAAAGUCCCAUAUUCACCAUCCUUCAA